UUAAUCCAAAACUCAACUUCUCAUCUCCGCUUGCGAUCUUUUGCAGCAACUAAUUAUUUUUUAGGAAAGAAGGUGACUGUGUCUUGUUUACCACCUUUGUUUUCUUGAUUAUUUUUUUUUACCGAAAUAAAAAAAUGGCUUUGAUGGAAACAUUUUAUCUCUCACAUGGAGCUCCAACACUUGCUACUGAUGAAACCGUACCAGCAAGACAAUUCUUUAAAUCAUGGCAACAAAGUGUGUACAAAGAGAAACCUACCGUUAAUGUUGUUGAUCGAAAUGAUACCAUUCAUGACUUCCAUGGCUUCCCCAAGCCCUUGUACCAGAUUAGCUUUCCCAGAGUUUCAACAUUGGGGCGCGUCCACACGUUUCCCCACUCAGCAAUUAGCUUCAGAUUCUUUUGUUAAAAUUCUUUUGAAUCCAGGGCCAAAGAAGUUAGCGGUGAAAAUGGCUAGACAGAAGGAUCGAUUUUGGGAUCAUGUUGAGAAGCUGGAUGAUGGUCGUUUCAACUGUACAUUUUGUGGCUUUAAAUUUGCUGCUGCUACUUCCAUUUCAAGGAUCAAAUGGCAUUUGUCAGGAGAUGAAGGGCAUGGUGUUGCAGUUUGUGGGCAAGUUCCUCAACAAGUUCAAGAAGCAGCAUUUCUAGAUAUGCGACAUUGCAACAAAAGACAUAAAGGCAUAGCAAGUUCAAGCAAUUUUAAUGAUAAUGCCAUUUCAACCACUCCACAAGAACAAAACAAUGAAGUCGACAAUGUGGCAGGAGAUGCAGGAACGACACAAGAAGCGGAUAGAAUGGGUCACCCACUUGGAAGAAGUGUGGAAGAGUUCAGUAGAUGGUUAAUGGAGGAUGAUACAGAGAAUGGGACUGGAGGAGUAGUGCAGCCUGGUGCAGGAGCUAGCUCUUCUGGAGGGCUUACAAGCAACACAAAUGAGACUCCAGGAGAUCCAUUACCUACUAGCUCUACAAAGCUAGUGGGUCAAGCAUUUGAACAGAAUACAAAUCUGAUAUGGUCUUGGUUAAUGGAUGAUGAAGUCUCGACAAUUGGCAUUUACGGAAUGGGGGGAGUCGGUAAAACGACAAUGAUGAAACAUAUCCAUAAUAAGCUUCUAGAAAGAUUAGGCCUUUCUCAUUGUGUUUACUGGGUGACCGUGUCUCGAGAUUUUAGCAUUGAAAGAUUGCAAAAUCUUAUUGCUAAAUGUCUUGGAUUUGAUCUUUCAAGUGAAGAUGAUGAUCUGUGUAGAGCUGUCAAAUUGUCGAAAGAACUAAGGAAGAAACAAAAAUGGAUUCUAAUUUUAGAUGAUUUGUGGAACACUUUUGAGCUACACGAAGUGGGAAUUCCUGACCCGGUGAAAGGAUGUAAGCUGAUUAUGACAACUCGAUCUGAAAGGGUUUGUCAACGAAUGGAUAGCCAAAACAAAAUCAAAGUGAAGCCACUUUCGGAGAGUGAAGCUUGGGAUUUGUUCAAGGAAAAACUUGGACAUGGCAUAACAUUUUGCCAAGAAGUGGAACGAAUUGCAGUAGAUAUUGCAAGGGAAUGUGCUGGUUUGCCAUUGGGCAUUAUUACAAUCGCAGGAAGCUUGAGGAGGGUGGAUGACCUACAUGAGUGGAGGAAUACAUUGAAGAAAUUGAAAGAAUCAAAAUGUAGGGACAUGGAAGAUAAGGUAUUCCGGUUGUUGAGGUUUAGUUAUGACCAGUUACAUGAUUUAGCACUACAACAGUGUCUCUUAAACUGUGCAUUAUUUCCUGAAGAUCAUGAGAUUGUAAGGAAGGAGUUGAUAGAUUAUUUGAUCGAUGAGGGGGUAAUUGAAAGAGUGGAGAGCAGGCAAGAAGCAGUUGACGAGGGCCACACUAUGCUUAAUAGACUUGAAAGUGUCUGCAUAUUGGAAGGUGCUAAAAACAUGUAUGGUGAUAGAUGUGUCAAGAUGCAUGACUUGAUUAGGGAUAUGACCAUCCAAAUACUGCAAGAGAACUCUCAAGGCAUGGUUAAAGCAGGUGCACGGUUAAGAGAAGUGCCGGGUGCAGAGGAGUGGACAGAGAAUCUUACUAGAGUUUCACUGAUGCAUAACCAGAUUGAAGAAAUUCCUUCCACGCAUUCACCGAGGUGUCCCAGCCUUUCAACUCUAUUGUUAUGCGACAAUUCACAGUUGCAAUUUAUUGCAGUUUCAUUUUUUGAGCAGUUGCAUGGGCUCAAGGUUCUUGAUCUGUCUCGUACAGGUAUUACAAAACUACCUGAUUCUGUCUCUGAAUUGGUGAGUCUCACUGCAUUACUGCUCAUUGAUUGUAAGAUGUUAAGGCAUGUACCGUCAUUAGAAAAGCUCAGGGCACUGAAGAGGUUAGAUCUCUCUGGUACUCGGGCACUUGAAAAGAUUCCUCAAGGCAUGGAAUGUCUAUGCAACCUGAGGUAUCUUAGAAUGAAUGGAUGUGGUGAAAAGGAGUUUCCUAGUGGGUUGUUACCUAAGCUCUCUCACCUGCAAGUCUUUGUAUUGGAGGAGUGGAUUCCUCCUGCUACCAAAGAUAAUAGAAGAGGACAACCUGCUCCGGUAACAGUUAAAGGAAAGGAAGUAGGAUGCUUGAGGAAGUUGGAAAGUUUGGUAUGCCAUUUUGAAGGUUAUUCAGACUACGUGGAGUAUCUCGAAUCUCGGGAUGAAACCAAAUCACUAACCACAUACCAAAUUCUUGUAGGACCACUGGAUAAGUAUCAUUAUGGUUAUGAUUAUGAUUAUGAUGGUUGCAGAAGGAAAACAAUUGUUUGGGUUAACUUGAGUAUCGACAGAGAUGGAGGUUUUCAGGUCAUGUUUCCAAAGGACAUUCAACAACUGACUAUUGAUAAUAAUGAUGAUGCAACAAGUUUAUGCGAUGUUUCCUCUCAAAUAAAGUAUGCAACUGAUCUGGAGGUUAUCAAGAUUUUUAGUUGCUAUAGCAUGGAGAGCUUGGUUUCAUCUUCUUGGUUCCGCUCUGCUCCACUACCAUCUCCAUCUUACAAUGGUAUAUUUUCUGGUCUUAAACGGUUUAAUUGUUCUGGUUGUAAGAGCAUGAAGAAGUUGUUCCCUCUUGUCUUGCUGCCAAGCCUCGUAAACCUCGAAAAUAUUAGAGUUUCUGACUGUGAGAAGAUGGAGGAGAUAAUAGGUGGAACAAGACCAGAUGAAGAGGGGGUUAUGGGUGAAGAAACCAGCAGCAGCAAUAUCGAAUUCAAACUCCCAAAGUUAACGAUGUUGGCAUUGGAGGGAUUACCAGAACUGAAAAGGAUUUGUAGUGCAAAACUGAUUUGCGAUUCUAUCGGAGCAAUUGACGUAAGAAAUUGCGAGAAAAUGGAGGAGAUAAUAGGUGGAACAAGAUCAGAUGGAGAAGGGGUUAUGGGUGAAGAAAGCAGCACCGAUCUCAAACUCCCCAAGUUAAUAUUUCUGCAAUUGAUUAGAUUACCAGAACUGAAAAGCAUUUGCAGUGCAAAACUGAUUUGCGAUUCUCUCCAAUUAAUUCAAGUAAGGAAUUGUGAGAAGCUGAAGAGGAUGGGAAUUUGUCUUUCGUUGCUUGAAAAUGGCGAGCAUCCUAACGCUAAGGAUGUCCUUCGUCCCUUUUUAAAGUUUGUUAAAGGACAGUGCCCUUGAAAUAAUAUUAAAUUAAAAGUAAGGAAGCCAGACGAAGACGAGUGAAGCGUUUAGAGAGCAACAACACCUUUUAGCCAAUUCAACUACAAUGAAGAGCAAGUGGAAAAGCCAAACAGAUCUGCAAGUUACAGUGUGCUAGAUGAAAGCGAUGCUAGAGCCCUCGUUUACAAGGAAGGAGAUAGUUUUAUCCAUGCUAGCUGCUGACACGAGUACUGAAGUAUGUUAUUUCUGGCCGAGUGAUUUUCUUUGGAGUUUCUAUCUUCAUUAAUUUUCAUUAAUUCAUUAGACUCAAGGAAUUAAAGCAGUGUAAUGUGAACACGUUGAAUAGUUAGCGUGAAUAAAUAAAGCAGAAAGUGACAAAGUGUGCAGGGUGGUUCCAUGAGAGUAAUCAUUGCAUACAGUAAAAUGGUAAAAUGGACCUUACCCGUAUUCUCUUCACUGGUUUUGUACCUCCCCAAUGGGGUACCUUGCACUUAGAGGAGCAGUAACGAGGACAAUGUGAAUAGUUCAUCAUGAAAUGAUGGCAGAUUGAUCUGUCCUGGCUAGGAUUUAGAGGCUUUAAGUAUGGAUUUUAAAUCAUUCAGACUGUUUAGUAUGAAGUGACAUGAACACAUUCAUUCCUGUUACACAAGCAUAUAAGGAAAUGAUUUUUCAGGACCCAUGCCACCUGAUAUUCGAAAACUGAUCAAUUUACAGAAACUGUAAUGCUUUUUCUUCAUUUUCAUGUUUAUUGUUUAUAGAUCUUGUAUCAUAUAAUGUUACUCAUACUAUGCCUGCAGAACUUGGCAAGUUGGUCAACUUGACAGAUAUGUAAGCAGACACUUUUUCUUUUUUAUGUGUCUCGUUCAAUCGAAUUCACAAGUCUAUGAACCCAUAAAGCAUUGAUUACUCAUAUCAUUUUUCAUGUCUUUAUCCUUGGAUUUACCUCGGCUGGGUGGUUUUCCCCAACAGAUAUAUAAUCAUCCUCUAUAAGCACAGGAAACGUAGCUGGUUUUGAUGAAAAAAAAUCUCAUAUUUAACUUUCUGAGAUUGUUUAGAUCUUUGAAUCUUCUAUGCUGAUAAUUCAACCAUGCACAUGGAUCAAAUUCAGUGGAAAUAAUGUUAAUGGAAUUCUUUCAAAUAUUGUUUUUCAUAAGUGUAAUGUUGUUCAUCUUUUUAUCUAAAUUUUAUGGUAAACAAUAUCACUUACAAAAACUCUGAGUUUGUAUUUCUUUGACACCUUUUAGGAGGAUGAAUGAUAAUAAUUUCUCAGGGAAGUUACCUGCUUUCAUCAGUAAAUGAACACAGGUUCAGAAACUUCAUAUACAAGCUUCCUCUCUUGAGGGGACUAUAUCUUCUAGCACUGCUUCCUUGACCAGACUAAGUGAUUUGAGGAGAUUGGUGACUUAACAGAAAGAGGGUCUUCUUUCCCGCCACUGUGUAAUAUGGAAUCCAUAUAACGUUAGCUUAGGGAUCUAGAUCUUCAAACAGGACUUUUCACACUAAAACAGAUGAAAGCUGCUACCAAGAACUUCGAUGCAGCAAACAAUGUCGAGGAGGGUGUUUUUGCUUCUGUUUUCAAGGGUUCAUUAUCAGAUGGAACUGUGAUUGCAGUGUGCUGCUUUCCUCAAAAUCUAAGCAAGGAAACCGUGAAUUUGUGAAUGAGAUAGGAAUGAUAUCUGCACUGCAACAUCCAAAUCCUUGAAGUUGUAUGGAUGUUGUGUUGGAGGAAACCAAUUAUUGCUUGUGUACGAGUACCUGGAAAACAAUUGCCGGUCCCGUGCUCUAUUUGCAUCCUUAUUUGGAAUUAUCUGGGAUUCUGCCAGGCCUGUGUUUUGCAAGAGAGAGGAAGUCUUUCCGAGGUGGUUGGUCCAGAAUUGGGGUCAGAGUAUUCUUCAGGGGAGGCUAUGGUGAUACUAAAUGUCGCUCUCUUAUGCACCAAUGCAGCCCCAACUCUUAGGCCUACAAGGUCUCAAGUUGCGAGCAUGCUCGAAGGCCAAACUCCUGUUCUAGACCUUCUUUCUGAUCCUGGGUUUUCCGCGAUCAACACAAAAUACAAGGCUAUAAAGAAACCAUUUCUGGCAGAAUCCAAGCCAAACUUAUAGCAUGUCUAUAAACGGAUCAUACUGUUCUGAUUCCACAAACUCUUACGGAGAACCAGGCCAUCUGCUGAGAGUUAGUUCAGUUAAAUCUAAUGAGUAGAUGUUGUAUCAUUUAUAUUAUCUUGAAAUAAUUUGCAGAUUCCAAAUUCAUAUGUUAAAAAUUCAAUUUUAUUUUUUAAGAAUCAGUUUUGUUUAUUCAA